GAUGAACGCUAGCUACAGGCUUAACACAUGCAAGUCGAGGGGUAACGAGAGGAAAGCUUGCUUUCCUUGUCGACGACCGGCGCACGGGUGAGUAACGCGUAUCCAACCUGCCCCCAACUAGGGAAUAACCUUGCGAAAGUAAGACUAAUACCCUAUAAUUUCCUCAGAUGUCAUCUGACGAGGAAUAAAGAUUUAUCGGUUGUGGAUGGGGAUGCGUCUGAUUAGCUUGUUGGCGGGGUAACGGCCCACCAAGGCAACGAUCAGUAGGGGUUCUGGGGGGAAGGUCCCCCACAUUGGAACUGAGACACGGCCCAAACUCCUACGGGAGGCAGCAGUGAGGAAUAUUGGUCAAUGGGCGGAAGCCUGAACCAGCCAGGUAGCGUGCAGGAUGACGGCCCUAUGGGUUGUAAACUGCUUUUAUACAGGAAUAAAGUUAGCCACGUGUGGUUAUUUGUAGGUACUGUAUGAAUAAGGACCGGCUAAUUCCGUGCCAGCAGCCGCGGUAA
rnacentral:rRNA from 1 species